AUUAAUCAUUCAGAAGACCCAGUUGGAUUGUUGAUCAAUAGAUCUGAAGGAAGCCAACAAAUCCCAGUGAAACAGCCACAGAAGAGACUAAUGAAAACCUAGUUCUGCUCAGAUUGAAAGAUCUCAAGGGAAUGAGAAAAAUGGACGCCAUCACAGGCACAUCCUGGCUGGGAGAAAUCUUAUGAUCCUUUCCUCUGUCAGCCACAUCUUCCUGGAGUGGAAACAAAGGCUGCCCAAGGGAGCUGAGAACCAGAAAUGAGGCUCUGACAACAAGGGUUACUUCUGUCUUUUUGUUGUGCUUGUGGUUUGUUUGUGUUCAUUGACCCAAUAAGUGGGUUUCUUUUCUAA